AAUGAUAAAGAUUAUUUACCAAUUUUUCUAAAUGUUGGAUUCUCUAAUUUACCAUCCGUUUCAAGCCAAUUGGGUGUGGUGAAUGCAAUAACCACAAAUAUAAAAGCAAUUAACGUCAAGAUAACUGCCGUCUUUCCAUUUCGUGACUUUCCCAUUGUAUUUAACUUUCAAUUACGUAUAAACAAUCGUUAUUUAAAUUAUCGUGAUUAUUUAUUGUCACGAUCGUAUUUAAUUUCACUCACGUUUGUUCUAUCUUCGAAUUUCUCGUUAAUAUAAACUUUAAACGCACUACACACUAAAUGCAUAUAUUGCCUAUACAUUUUAAAGAUGGAUGCCUCUAUAAAUGAUAUCUUUAAUGCAUAGGUGGCACCACUCUGCGGAAUAAAUUCGUAACAAUGAAUAGCAAGUAACAAAAAUUUAAAAUUCUCGUUCCAACGUAUAAUUAUUUGUAAAAAUUGUAUAUACUUAUAUAAUUUAAAUGUUAACUUUUAUUAUUAAUGUUAUUUUGUUUCAAUUUGGUACUAAUCAAUGGAUCUAAAUUAUUUGAAAUAAGAUCACAGUGGCAAAAUAUAAUAUCUUAUAUCGCCAAAUAAAAAUGAAUGAUUCUAGCGACAAGUAAAUUCUUUUUUACUUGAUAAUAAAUUACUUAAUAUAUUGAAGGAUAUAAAAAAAGUGGCGAUUAUAAUCACUAAAGGGCCAGAAGAUAUUUAGUUGGAUGGAAAUAGGGAUGAUGUCUUACCGCCACCUGCUCUAAGCAUAUCAAGAAACGUGCUCUCGGCAUUGCCACGCGUGCGUCCCUGUUUUUGAGAUGGCGUACCGAAACUGAGACUCUGAAUAUUGAUUUCAGCUUUGAGUUGUUCCGGUGGUAUGUCAUCAACGCGGAACUCAUUAGGAUCUUCAACGAAGGCUUGUUGAAGGUCACGCAUUAUCUUCUUACGUAUCGUCUUCUUCAUUGAAAGAUGUCUUUCCAAAUGUUUGACAUCGCUCUCGGUAAGGGUCUUACUGUUGUCCCGUCUUCUUGUCUUCUUCUUCUUACUAUUCUUCGGACUUUCUUCUUCACCAGAAGUUGAACCUAUGGAAACCGCGCUGUCAUGUCCAGCAGCUUUUUCUUCGGCUUGCAUACGUGCAUUUUCCCAUUUGUUACCAAAACCGAAAAUGUCACGUAAAUGAGGUAUAUUUCGAUCGGCUGUCUGCUGCCUUGCCAUUCUUAUUUAUUAGAUUAGAUACGUUCUGAAAUGAGAUAAAAAUAAUAUUUAUAAAAAGCCCGUUAUAUAUCUUGAAUGAUAAGUUAAAUUUAUAUAAAUAAAUAUUUUAACAAGCUGCUAAAAAGGAGCUGCUAAAAGACAAACAUAUAUAUUAAUUAUAGACAAAUAUUUUCCAGUCAUGUUAUUACCCAUGGACCAAAUUUCAUCGAUCAUUCAAUCGAAUCCGCGAACCUGUCUAAUACCAUCGAUAUCUUUUUGUCUCUGUCAAACAUGAUUCUGAAGUAGACACGAUUUGAAAACACAAAUGAUUAUCCAUUAUAUCAUAAGUAUUUACCUACAUAUAACGACUAAAGCCACUAUCCAAGAAAUAUCCAUGCCUGUCUACUACGUUCUCACCACUACCUCCUAUAUCCUAUACACUAACAAUUCCGCAAACCAGCUGACCGAACAAACGCGCACGUAUCGUUAGAUAACCGCAAAAAGAAGGGGCUACGUGAAAGGACUCCUGCUCGGCUGAUCUCCUGGAAGCACCGUUCGUUUAUCCGCUUGCCGUCGUUUCGCCGUACGGAGGCGAACUCGUUGCCAGGCAGCGCUGAACGGGCUCUCGAGUUCUUUCCAGGUUUAUCCAGUUUCAUCCUCCAAGUACCAAGUUCGUUAUGGUAUAAUCAAGACAUUCGACGAUGACAACGACGACGACGACGACGACGACGAAGACGAUGAUGAUGAUAAUGAUGAUGAUGAUGAUGAUGAUGAUGAUGAUGAUGAUGAUGAUGAUGAUGAUGAUGAUGAUGAUGAUAAUGAUGAUGAUGAUGAUAAUGAGAAAACAAUGACGAUUUCUAGCGUAAAGUCAAAGAAGUUGUUGUUUUCUGUUUUUCAACUUCGAAACCGGUACGGUCAAGCGACAUAUGGGAUGAUGAACCGCUUUUUAUCACGUUUCAUGCAUUUACGAAAAGGCUAUCUAGCUUUAUUUUCAAUGAUCAUUUUGUCUUGUUAAUUAUGUGAACAUACUACAAGUAUAUUAUAUAAUGUCUUCUUCUCUUUUUGUUAAUAUAUAAGAAA